CCAAACAGCGGGCGGAUGACACUCCCCAGCCGCCGCCCUCCUCGACGCGCCCCGUUCCCCUACACAAAAUCGACACCUGCCAACAAGACAUGCGACGACGGAGCAGCGUUUAUCUGUGCCUCUACAGAUUCCGAGUGCUCCGAGCUGACGCUCUAGAUUUCUCGAGCCUGCGGGUGCGGGGUGACCGAUUCGAAGGUCGGGGAAGAAGAUGACGGUGGGGGCCGGGGUUUCGGUGUAGGACGGGAGCCUGGUGGCGCUGGGGGCCAAGAUCCUGUCAGAAGUGUGAGACAAUGUGCUCGUGACGCCGGCCGCCGGGGGCGGCAUGACGAGCGAUGCAUUCCUCGGGGUCCCGUCAGCCCCCGUUGGAAGCUGCAGCAUGGAGUAUAAGUAUACUGAAUUUCCAACAUAUCUUUUUUGUAUUUGCAGGUUUGAAAAAGGUGGAAUUUCUCCUAAGUUUCUUGUAAUUGAUGAUGGAUGGCAAUCAGUCAGCAUGGACCCUGAGGGAAUUGAGUGCUUAACUGAUAAUGCAGCCAACUUUGCAAACAGGUUGACUCAUUAAGGAGAACCACAGGUUUCAUAAAAAUGGGAGGGAGGGUCACAGGGAAGAUGAUCCACCAAAAGGCCUUGCGCAUAUCGUCGAUGAAAUUAAAGGGAGACAUGAGCUGAAGUAUGUAUAUGUAUGGCAUGCCCUUACUGGAUACUGGGGUGGAGUCAGGCCAGGUGUUGAUGAAAUGGAGCACUAUGAAUCGAAGAUGCAAUACCCUGUGUUAUCACCGGGAGUUCAGAAAAACGAGCCCUGUGAUGCUUUGAACAGCAUAACGACUAAUGGCCUUGGUCUUGUGAACCCUGAGAAAGUAUUCAGUUUGUACAAUGAGCUACAAUGAGUUAAACGUGACAGAGAUUACUAUCACUAAUGUGCACUUACCGGCUAAUUCAUUUACUGCUGUUGUAUUGAUAUGAGUAAUUCAUGUUACAUU